GACGAACGCUGGCGGCGUGCUUAACACAUGCAAGUCGAGCGGUAAGGCCCCUUCGGGGGUACUCGAGCGGCGAACGGGUGAGUAACACGUGAGCAAUCUGCCCAUCACAUCGGGAUAACUCCGGGAAACCGAAGCUAAUACCGAAUACGACCACCUCCGGCAUCGGAGGUGGUGGAAAGCUCCGGCGGUGAUGGAUGAGCUCGCGGCCUAUCAGCUUGUUGGUGGGGUAAUGGCCUACCAAGGCUUCGACGGGUAGCCGGCCUGCGAGGGUGACCGGCCACACUGGGACUGAGACACGGCCCAGACUCCUACGGGAGGCAGCAGUGGGGAAUAUUGGACAAUGGGCGAAAGCCUGAUCCAGCAACGCCGCGUGAGGGAUGACGGCCUUCGGGUUGUAAACCUCUUUCAGCAGGGACGAAGCGCAAGUGACGGUACCUGCAGAAGAAGCACCGGCCAACUACGUGCCAGCAGCCGCCGUAACAC
rnacentral:rRNA from 1 species